rnacentral:lncRNA from 1 species
AUGGCCUUCACACACUCUCAGGCCUACAGUGGUGUGUGUGCGCCUGACCACCACCCCCAUGGGUCAUGGUUCAAACAAAAAUGUGUGUGUCUGAACAUCAUUAAGCAGGCCAAAUACCUUUUUACCCCCACUCCUUUUAUGCUUCUUCCUCCCUCUCUCUCUCUUCCUCCCUCCUCCCUCUCUCUCUCUCGUCCUCCCUCCUCUCUCUCUCUUCCUCCCUCCUCUCUCUCUCUCUCUCUCUUCCUCCCUCCUCUCUCUCUCUCUCUUCCUCCCUCUUCUCUCUCUCCCUCUUUCGUUUCUUCCUCCCUCCUCUCUCACUCUUCCUCCCUCCUCUCUCUUCCUCCCUCCUCUCUCUCUUCCUCCCUCCUCUCUCUCUCUUCCUCCCUCUUCUCUCUCUCUUCCUCCCUCCUCUCUCUCUUCCGCCCUCCUCUCUCUCUUCCUCGCUCCUCUCUCUCUUCCUCCCUCCUCUCUCUCUUCCUCGCUCCUCUCUCUCUUCCUCCCUCCUCUCUCUCUUCCUCCCUCCUCUCUCUCUUCCUCCCUCCUCUCUCACUCUUCCUCCCUCCUCUCUCUCUUCCUCCCUCCUCUCUCUCUCUUCCUCCCUCCUCUCUCUCUCUUCCUCCCUCCUCUCUCUCUCGUCCUCCCUCCUCUCUCUCUCUUCCUCCCUCCUCUAUCUCUCUCUCUUCCUCCCUCCUCUCUCUCUUCCUCCCUCCUCUCUCUCUUCCUCCCUCCUCUCUCUCUCUUCCUCCCUCUUUCGUUUCUUCCUCCCUCCUCUCUCUCUCUUCCUCCCUCCUCUCUCUCUCUUCCUCCCUCCUCUCUCUCUUCCUCCAUCCUCUCUCUCUCUUCCUCCCUCCUCUCUCUCUCUUCCUCCAUCCUCUCUCACUCUUCCUCCCUCCUCUCUCUCUCUUCCCACCUCCUCUCUCACACUUCCUCCCUCCUCUCUCACUCUUCCUCCCUCCUCUCUCUCUCUUCCUCCCUCUUUCGUUUCUUCCUCCCUCCUCUCUCUCUUCCUCCCUCCUCUCUCUCUUCCUCCCUCCUCUCUCUCUCUUCCUCCCUCCUCUCUCACUCUUCCUCCCUCCUCUCUCUCUUCCUCCCUCCUCUCUCUCUCUUCCUCCCUCCUCUCUCUCUCUUCCUCCCUCCUCUCUCACUCUUCCUCCCUCCUCUCUCUCUCUUCCUCCCUCAUCUCUCACUCUUCCUCCCUCCUCUCUCUCUUCCUCCCUCCUCUCUCACUCUUCCUCCCUCCUCUCUCUCUCUUCCUCCCUCAUCUCUCACUCUUCCUCCCUCCUCUCUCUCUCUUCCUCCCUCCUCUCUCUCUCUUCCUCCCUCCUCUCUCUCUCUUCCUCCCUCAUCUCUCACUCUUCCUCCCUCCUCUCUCUCUCUUCCUCCCUCCUCUCUCUCUCUUCCUCCCUCUUCUCUCUCUCUUCCUCCCUCUUUCGUUUCUUCCUCCCUCUUUCGUUUCUUCCUCCCUUUUACGUUUCUUCCUCCCUCCUCUCCCUCUCUUCCUCCCUCCUCUCUCACUCUUCCUCCCUCUUUCGUUUCUUCCUCUCUCCUCUCUCUCUUCCUCCCUCCUCUCUCUCUCUUCCUCCCUCCUCUCUCUCUUCCUCCCUCCUCUCUCACUUCCUCCCUCCUCUCUCUCUCGUCCUCCCUCCUCUCUCUCUCGUCCUCCCUCCUCUCUCUCUCUUCCUCCCUCCUCUAUCUCUCUCUCUUCCUCCCUCCUCUCUCUCUUCCUCCCUCCUCUCUCUCUUCCUCCCUCCUCUCUCUCUCUUCCUCCCUCUUUCGUUUCUUCCUCCCUCCUCUCUCUCUCUUCCUCCCUCCUCUCUCUCUCUUCCUCCCUCCUCUCUCUCUUCCUCCAUCCUCUCUCUCUCUUCCUCCCUCCUCUCUCUCUCUUCCUCCAUCCUCUCUCACUCUUCCUCCCUCCUCUCUCUCUCUUCCCACCUCCUCUCUCACACUUCCUCCCUCCUCUCUCACUCUUCCUCCCUCCUCUCUCUCUCUUCCUCCCUCUUUCGUUUCUUCCUCCCUCCUCUCUCUCUUCCUCCCUCCUCUCUCUCUCUUCCUCCCUCCUCUCUCUCUCUUCCUCCCUCCUCUCUCACUCUUCCUCCCUCCUCUCUCUCUUCCUCCCUCCUCUCUCUCUCUUCCUCCCUCCUCUCUCUCUCUUCCUCCCUCCUCUCUCACUCUUCCUCCCUCCUCUCUCUCUCUUCCUCC